AUUGAACGCUGGCGGCAUGCCUUACACAUGCAAGUCGAACGGUAACAGGCCUUCGGGUGCUGACGAGUGGCGAACGGGUGAGUAAUGCAUCGGAACGUGCCCAGAGGUGGGGGAUAACGCAGCGAAAGCUGUGCUAAUACCGCAUGUGAUCUGAGGAUGAAAGCGGGGGACCAGGCAGCAAUGUUUGGCCUCGCGCCUUUGGAGCGGCCGAUGUCAGAUUAGGUAGUUGGUGGGGUAAAGGCCUACCAAGCCGACGAUCUGUAGCUGGUCUGAGAGGACGACCAGCCACACUAGGACUGAGACACGGCCCAGACUCCUACGGGAGGCAGCAGUGGGGAAUUUUGGACAAUGGGCGCAAGCCUGAUCCAGCAAUGCCGCGUGCGGGAAGAAGGCCUUCGGGUUGUAAACCGCUUUUGUACGGAACGAAAAGGCUCUGGCUAAUACCUGGGGCUGAUGACGGUACCGUAAGAAUAAGCACCGGCUAACUACGUG
rnacentral:rRNA from 1 species